rnacentral:rRNA from 1 species
GGCUCUCUGUUUACAUAAAUAUAGGGAGUCGAGCCUGCCCAGUGAAUUUUUAAACGGCCGCGGUACUCUGACCGUGCAAAGGUAGCAUAAUCAUUUGCCUUAUAAUUGAAGGCUAGUAUGAAUGGUUUGACGAGAGCAACACUGUCUCCUUUUUAUUUUCAAGAACUUAACUUUUAGGUGAAGAGGCCUAAAUUUUAUUGAAGGACAAGAAGACCCUAUCGAGCUUAAAAGACAUUAUAGAAGUUUAUAUAUUUCUAAAUAAAUUUUCUAUUGAGCUUUUUAGUUGGGGCGACUAAGGAACAAAAAAAGCUUCUUGCUAAUAAUAGACAGUCAUGUUUAGAUCCGAUAAUAGUCGAUCAAAGAAAUUAGUUACCGUAGGGAUAACAGCAUAAUCUCUCUUGAGAGACCUAAUCGAAAGAGGGGGUUGUGACCUCGAUGUUGGACUAGAAUAUCCUAAAGAUGCAGAAGUCUUUGAAAGGUCGGUCUGUUCGACCGUUAAAAUUCU